ACGUGAAACUGCUUAGAGGUUAAGCCCGAUGAACCUGAAAUCCGUUAUGGAAAAUUCAUCAUUAAAAUUGUAAUAUUUAAAUAUAUUAUGAGGAUAGUGUGCAUUUUUUCCAUAUAAGGGACAUUGUAAUCUAUUAGCAUAUACCAAAUUAUCAUAAAAUAUAACUUAUAGUUUAUUCCAAUUAAAUUGCUUGCAUUUUAACACAGAAUAAAUGUUAUUAAUUUGAUAAAGUGUGAUGAUAGAUAAUAUGAUUACAGUGCGUUAAUUUUUCGGAAUUAUAUAAUGGCAUAAUUAUCAUUGAUUUUUGUGUUUAUUAUAUGCACUUGUAUGAUUAACAAUGCGAAGAUUCAGGAUACCUUCGGGACCCGUCUUGAAACACGGACCAAGGAGUCUAACAUAUGUGCAAGUUAUUGGGAUAUAAACCUAAUAGCGUAAUUAACUUGACUAAUAAUGGGAUUAGUUUUUUAACUAUUUAUAGCUAAUUAACACAAUCCCGGGGCGUUCUAUAUAGUUAUGUAUAAUGUAUAUUUAUUUAUGCCUCUAACUGGAACGUACCUUGAGCAUAUAUGCUGUGACCCGAAAGAUGGUGAACUAUACUUGAUCAGGUUGAAGUCAGGGGAAACCCUGAUGGAAGACCGAAACAGUUCUGACGUGCAAAUCGAUUGUCAGAAUUGAGUAUAGGGGCGAAAGACCAAUCGAACCAUCUAGUAGCUGGUUCCUUCCGAAGUUUCCCUCAGGAUAGCUGGUGCAUUUUAAUAUUAUAUAAAAUAAUCUUAUCUGGUUAAAGCGAAUGAUUAGAGGCCUUAGGGUCGAAACGAUCUUAACCUAUUCUCAAACUUUAAAUGGGUAAGAACCUUAACUUUCUUGAUAUGAAGUUCAAGGUUAUGAUAUAAUGUGCCCAGUGGGCCACUUUUGGUAAGCAGAACUGGCGCUGUGGAUGAACCAACGUAAUGUUACGGUGCCCAAAUUAACAACUCAUGCAGAUACCAUGAAAGGCGUUGGUUGCUUAAAACAGCAGGACGGUGAUCAUGGAAGUCGAAAUCCGCUAAGGAGUGUGUAACAACUCACCUGCCGAAGCAACUAGCCCUUAAAAUGGAUGGCGCUUAAGUUGUAUACCUAUACAUUACGCUAAAGUAGAUGAUUUAUAUACUUGUGAUAUAAAUUUUGAAACUUUAGUGAGUAGGAAGGUACAAUGGUAUGCGUAGAAGUGUUGGCGUAAGCCUGCAUGGAGCUGCCAUUGGUACAGAUCUUGGUGGUAGUAGCAAAUAAUCGAAUGAGACCUUGGAGACUGAAGUGGAGAAGGGUUUCGUGUGAACAGUGGUUGAUCACGAGUUAGUCGGUCCUAAGUUCAAGGCGAAAGCCGAAAAUUUUCAAGUAAAAACAAAAAUGCCAAAUUAUAUAAACAAAGCGAAAAUAAUACACUUGAAUAAUUUUGAACGAAAGGGAAUACGGUUCCAAUUCCGUAACCUGUUGAGUAUCCGUUUGUUAUUAAAUAUGGGCCUCGUGCUCAUCCUGGCAACAGGAACGACCAUAAAGAAGCCGUCGAGAGAUAUCGGAAGAGUUUCUUUUCUGUUUUAUAGCCGUACUACCAUGGAAGUCUUUCGCAGAGAGAUAUGGUAGAUGGGCUAGAAGAGCAUGACAUAUACUGUUGUGUCGAUAUUUUCUCCUCGGACCUUGAAAAUUUAUGGUGGGGACACGCAAACUUCUCAACAGGCCGUACCAAUAUCCGCAGCUGGUCUCCAAGGUGAAGAGUCUCUAGUCGAUAGAAUAAUGUAGGUAAGGGAAGUCGGCAAAUUAGAUCCGUAACUUCGGGAUAAGGAUUGGCUCUGAAGAUUGAGAUAGUCGGGCUUGAUUGGGAAACAAUAACAUGGUUUAUGUGCUCGUUCUGGGUAAAUAGAGUUCUAGCAUUUAUGUUAGUUACUUGUUCCCCGGAUAGUUUAGUUACGUAGCCAAUUGUGGAACUUUCUUGCUAAAAUUUUUAAGAAUACUAUUUGGGUUAAACCAAUUAGUUCUUAUUAAUUAUAACGAUUAUCAAUUAACAAUCAAUUCAGAACUGGCACGGACUUGGGGAAUCCGACUGUCUAAUUAAAACAAAGCAUUGUGAUGGCCUAGCGGGUGUUGACACAAUGUGAUUUCUGCCCAGUGCUCUGAAUGUCAAAGUGAAGAAAUUCAAGUAAGCGCGGGUCAACGGCGGAGAGUAACUAUGACUCUCUUAAGGUAGCCAAAUGCCUCGUCAUCUAAUUAGUGACGCGCAUGAAUGGAUUAACGAGAUUCCUACUGUCCCUAUCUACUAUCUAGCGAAACCACAGCCAAGGGAACGGGCUUGGAAUAAUUAGCGGGGAAAGAAGACCCUUUUGAGCUUGACUCUAAUCUGGCAGUGUAAGGAGACAUAAGAGGUGUAGAAUAAGUGGGAGAUAUUAGACCUCGGUUUGGUAUCGUCAAUGAAAUACCACUACUCUUAUUGUUUCCUUACUUACUUGAUUAAAUGGAACGUGUAUCAUUUCCUAGCCAUUAUACGGAUAUAUUUAUUAUAUCUUAUGGUAUUGGGUUUUGAUGCAAGCUUCUUGAUCAAAGUAUCACGAGUUUGUUAUAUAAUCGCAAACAAAUUCUUUAAUAAAACGAUGCAUUUAUGUAUUUUGAUUUGAAAAUUUGGUAUAACUCCAUACUCAGGUAUGAUCCAAUUCAAGGACAUUGCCAGGUAGGGAGUUUGACUGGGGCGGUACAUCUCUCAAAUAAUAACGGAGGUGUCCCAAGGCCAGCUCAGUGCGGACAGAAACCACACAUAGAGCAAAAGGGCAAAUGCUGACUUGAUCUCGGUGUUCAGUACACACAGGGACAGCAAAAGCUCGGCCUAUCGAUCCUUUUGGUUUAAAGAGUUUUAACAAGAGGUGUCAGAAAAGUUACCAUAGGGAUAACUGGCUUGUGGCGGCCAAGCGUUCAUAGCGACGUCGCUUUUUGAUCCUUCGAUGUCGGCUCUUCCUAUCAUUGUGAAGCAAAAUUCACCAAGCGUUGGAUUGUUCACCCAUGCAAGGGAACGUGAGCUGGGUUUAGACCGUCGUGAGACAGGUUAGUUUUACCCUACUAAUGACAAAACGUUGUUGCGACAGCAUUCCUGCGUAGUACGAGAGGAACCGCAGGUACGGACCAAUGGCACAAUACUUGUUCGAGCGAACAGUGGUAUGACGCUACGUCCGUUGGAUUAUGCCUGAACGCCUCUAAGGUCGUAUCCGUGCUGGACUGCAAUGAUAAUAAGGGGCAAUUUGCAUUGUAUGGCUUCUAAACCAUUUAAAGUUUAUAAUUUACUUUAUAAACGACAAUGGAUGUGAUGCCAAUGUAAUUUGUAACAUAGUAAAUUGGGAGGAUCUUCGAUCACCUGAUGCCGCGCUAGUUACAUAUAAAAGCAUUAUUUAAUACAAUGACAAAGCCUAGAAUCAAUUGUAAACGACUUUUGUAACAGGCAAGGUGUGUAAGUGGUUGAGCAGCUGCCAUACUGCGAUCCACUGAAGCUAUCCUUU
rnacentral:rRNA from 1 species